rfam:Myotis brandtii contig317397, whole genome shotgun sequence.
GCCCAUAGGGCUCAGUGGAUAGAGCAUCAGCCUGCAAAAUGAAGGGUCCUGGGUUCAAUUCCCAUCAUGGUCA